rnacentral:rRNA from 1 species
GAUGAACGCUGGCGGCGUGCCUAAUACAUGCAAGUCGAGCGAACAGACGAGGAGCUUGCUCCUCUGACGUUAGCGGCGGACGGGUGAGUAACACGUGUAUAACCUACCUAUAAGACUGGGAUAACUUCGGGAAACCGGAGCUAAUACCGGAUAAUAUAUUGAACCGCAUGGUUCAAUAGUAAAAGACGGUUUUGCUGUCACUUAUAGAUGGAUCCGCGCCGCAUUAGCUAGUUGGUAAGGUAACGGCUUACCAAGGCAACGAUGCGUAGCCGACCUGAGAGGGUGAUCGGCCACACUGGAACUGAGACACGGUCCAGACUCCUACGGGAGGCAGCAGUAGGGAAUCUUCCGCAAUGGGCGAAAGCCUGACGGAGCAACGCCGCGUGAGUGAUGAAGGUCUUCGGAUCGUAAAACUCUGUUAUUAGGGAAGAACAAAUGUGUAAGUAACUAUGCACGUCUUGACGGUACCUAAUCAGAAAGCAACGGCUAACUACGUG